rnacentral:rRNA from 1 species
UACGGAGGGUGCAAACGUUGUUCGGAAUCAUUGGGCGUAAAGCGCACGUAGGCGGUCGGCUAUGUCGGAUGUGAAAGCCUCGGGCUUAACCCGAGAAGGGCAUCCGAAACUGGCCGGCUUGAGUACGGAAGAGGGUCUCGGAAUUCCCGGUGUAGAGGUGAAAUUCGUAGAUAUUCGGAAGAACACCAGUGGCGAAGGCGGCUCACUGGCCCGGUACUGACGCUGAGGUGCGAAAGCGUGGGGAGCAAACAGG